rnacentral:lncRNA from 1 species
AUAAAUCAUCAAAACUACCACUUUUUCACUUAAACAUGCAUCUCCUUCCUUAACCCCAUAAAACUUUCAGAAAACAUAUAACAAGGUCCAGAUCUUCCCUUACCUCUAUAAACAGGAAGAUGAACGUUCUGAAUCCAAGGAAAACAGAUCAACUCUUCUUCAACCUCACUAACUCUCAAAAGCUUAACUUUUGCUUCAACACUCUUACAAUCUCUUGAACACUAGCAAACUCCUGCAUGAUCUGCUCAAACUCAGCAAAUAAAUCAUGGGAGACGUGGCCAAGCUUCUGGCAACAAGUUGGACAUAACACCUGUCCAAAAUGCUGACUAAGGAUGCCCAAAAGCUGGCUGGCCAACUCAGUUUCGGCUGCCCAAUCGCAUGCAAAACCAUGCAACAUUCGGGGGCCGAACCUACCUUCGGAAGCCGAACACUUUCGGCGGCCGAACUUACCUUCGGCGGCCGAACUUGGCUCAACUGCCUUAGGUCAUUUCAACUCAAAACUCACUUCUAUUAACCUUAAAACAUCAACACACAUCACACCACUUAGUAAAACAUAAAUCCUACCUUUUUUAUAGAAUUUCGACACCCUGGAUUCCACCAAACAACAGGAAUUCCGGUGCCGGACUCUAGCCGGGUAUUACA